rnacentral:lncRNA from 1 species
UAAUUUACAUAAUGAUGAUCGAUCUGAUCUAUUUUUUAAAGCAUCAACAUAACCUGCCCGUUCACUCAUUCUGUAAACACUUUGGAAAAAUGUUAAUUUUGGAGAUGCUGAAAUAUUUGCAUGUUGUUCCUGAAAACCCUGGUCAAUUAGUCUUUGUUUUAUAAAACCAAACAGGGGUUUAAUAAUAAGGUUAUCAUUUGACAAAUAAGAUAAACCUAAGUUUUGAAUAAUAAUAUUUAACCUUUUAACCCAUGGGUUGCUUUUUUUUUGUAGCAUUAUAUAUUUGGUGAACUAAACUUCCUUCUGAAGUGAUUAAAUGGUCCCAGAAUUUAAUGCAAGAUAACAUUAUCCUAUUUUUCAAUGGUAGUCUUGCAAGUUCGGAACGACAUGCAUCAUUCGAGGCCUUACAGUGUACUCCCAAGAUUUCUUUAAUAAAUUUUAUAUGCAACUUUUCAUAGGCAUCACUGUCUUUAAAUGUCGAAAUAAUCCCCCAGAUUUCGCUACAAUAAAGGAGAAUAGGGG